rnacentral:rRNA from 1 species
AACGAACGCUGGCGGCAUGCCUAACACAUGCAAGUCGAACGAGACCUUCGGGUCUAGUGGCGCACGGGUGCGUAACGCGUGGGAAUCUACCCUCAGGUUCGGAAUAACUCAGAGAAAUUUGAGCUAAUACCGGAUGAUGACGUAAGUCCAAAGAUUUAUCGCCUGAGGAUGAGCCCGCUUAGGAUUAGGUAGUUGGUGAGGUAAAGGCUCACCAAGCCGACGAUCCUUAGCUGGUCUGAGAGGAUGAUCAGCCACACUGGGACUGAGACACGGCCCAGACUCCUACGGGAGGCAGCAGUGGGGAAUAUUGGACAAUGGGCGAAAGCCUGAUCCAGCAAUGCCGCGUAAGUGAUGAAGGCCUUAGGGUUGUAAAGCUCUUUUACCCGGGAUGAUAAUGACAGUACCGGGAGAAUAAGCUCCGGCUAACUCCGUG